UAAGACCCCUGAAAGACUAUCAGGUUGAUAGGUUGGAGGUGUAAGUACAGUAAUGUAUUCAGCUGACCAAUACUAAUAGGUCGAGGGCUUGAUCAAAUU
rnacentral:rRNA from 1 species